UUCCCUGCGUGUCUGUUGCUGAAUGUGACUCAUGCUGUUUUCCUGCUUUGAGCUUGCUCUAGGGUGUUAUGGGCAGGAUGGACUUGUCCUGCGUGCUUGUUGUUCCGCCGUGUUUCUGAUCUUCAGAUUUAUCAUAAGGAAGAACAGCCGAUAUACAGGCAGAACUUGACAAAUGAGGCAACAAGCAACUUGAUCUGGGAUCCGUCGUCCUCUAGACCCCCGUAGGAGUUCUAAGCACCAGCGUGGUGGCCACCCCAGCAGCCUUGGACCCCUGAAGCCUUGAGCACCAAAGCACACACAGCUGCCUCUGGCUGAGUUCUGUGGUCGCCUGCACCCCCUCCACCUGCUUCCCCCGGAGG
rnacentral:lncRNA from 1 species